CCCCCCAGCAAUGGGCAAACAGAUACCUUGUUGGUGAUAUUGUUCUUCUAUCUGUCAGGGGCAGAGCAGACAGCAGUUCUUUGUUCAUUCUAGCUUGAUGCCUGGCUUGGUGGUCCAACCUGUUUUAUGCCAAAGACACAUAA